rnacentral:lncRNA from 1 species
GUACUUGUUCAAUUUCAGAUGCUAAAAGCAGAAGUGGAACAACAUCACCCCUCUGCAUCGCAAGUUUCAUUUCUGUACUUUUGCUAGUGCUGCUUUGGGGAGGACUUGCAUUCAUCUUCUGGAGAUAUAAAGGUACUAACUAGUAAAAAUAUUUUUUCUCUCUCUUUCGCUGUCUCUCUCUUUCUCUCGUUCACUAUAAGGUGACUAAUAGUAUUGUUACUGCUGCUAUAAUUUCAUUCUGUGUGUUGUUUCCUCAUAUGUGUCAGUGGUAUUGUGCUUUCCUCAGGACAGAGAGAGAGGCAGAUGGGGAAUGACAACAGACAAAGAAGAGGCACAGACCAAGAACGUGAUGUAAGCUAACAUAAAGAUCAAAUAGUUCCUGUGUUGCAUUACACAACCAAAAAGGCUGUGUAAGGAAGGCCGAAGUUUACCACAUCCCUAACCCCAAGCACACACAAAUAGACAGAGGGAUACAGAGAAGAAGAGAGUGAGACAGAGAGAAAGAGUAAAAAGUGAUGCAGUGUCUUGUGUGUAGAUGUCGGCCACAUCAACAUAUGAAGAACUUCAGCAUCGCUACAGUGCAGGGCAGAUGUACUCAACCAUUGGGCAGAACACUGGAGUGCAGGUUAAUGAUCAUGAGGGUGAUCAGAUUGAUCUAUCUGCAUGAGGCACCAGAGGAUUGCUGCAUCUCAACUGCCCAUCAGCGUCACUUACAUUGCACUGUCACAUGUUCAAAUCCUACACAGCUUGUAAUAAUUUUAGAUGCCUUGCUUUACGCAGCCCUAUGUUAAAUGCUCAUGUUGAUCUGUGAAAUGAAAUAUGCAGAUGUAGUUUCUGUCUCCUCUCCCCCUUUUGGCUGCAGCAGUCAGCACAAUUCAGCCAGUUUAACCUACCAACCAGAUAAGCAGUAUUGGUCAAACCAGACAAUCUAUGGACAUUGCUGUUUAAUCUUCAAUAAGACUUGCGCGUGUGAUACCUUUGGCUAUACUGAGAUAUGGGUAUAGAAGGUAAUACGAAUAUAAUCCUGUGAACAGAUGCAUAGUAUUUCAGUUACGCAGCCCUAUGUUAAAUGCUCAUGUUGAUCUGUGAAAUGAAAUAUGCAGAUGUAGUUACAUACAACAUAUUAAACCUGUUUUUGUACCAAGGCCAUCACUUGUGUACUAUUCUUCUCUGCCACUGUUACUCUGUAGCUCUAAACUGAAUCAGUGAUAUGUAGAAGUGGAAUGGAUUAUUCUGUUGAUAGUUUAGGUGUAAUUUCAUUUUCCUUUUGGAAAAUCAUAAGUUGCUUGCUAAAAAUAAAAAAUGUGUUCUACUGCA